rnacentral:sRNA from 1 species
UUUGAUUGACCAAAGGAAGAAGAAGAAGAAGAAGAAGAAUCUGAAGAGAGCGAUGAAGCAUAUUUUCAAGAAGCUACACAGAGGUGGGAAUCAAGAGCAGCAGAAUCGAACC